rnacentral:rRNA from 1 species
UACGUAGGGGGCUAGCGUUGCCCGGAUUUAUUGGGCGUAAAGAGCGUGUAGGCGGCCGGGUAAGUCCGGUGUGAAAACUCGAGGCUUAACCUCGAGAUGUCAUCGGAAACUAUUCGGCUAGAGUCCGGAAGAGGAGAGUGGAAUUCCUGGUGUAGCGGUGAAAUGCGCAGAUAUCAGGAAGAACACCUAUGGCGAAAGCAGCUCUCUGGGACGGUACUGACGCUGAGACGCGAAAGCGUGGGGAGCGAACAGG